GAUCUGGACAAGAAUUGAUAAGCCCAGGGAAUUCCCUGGUGGUCCAGUGGUUAAGAAUCCACCUCUUAAUGCAGGGGACAGGGGUUCGACCCCACGCAGGGGAACUAAGAUCCCAUAUGCCAUGGGCAGCUAAGCCUGCAUGCCGCAACCACUGAGCAUGUGCUCUAGAGCCCCAGGGCACAACUAGGGAGAAGCCUGUGCGCUACAUGAAAGAUCCCACGGGCCACAACUGCACCCUGACACAGCUAAAUAAAUAUUAUAAGAUGAUAAGCCCAUUGAUAUGUCUGGAGCAGGUCAUCUUUGCGGGAGUGACACGCUGUCUGUGAAGUCACUGUGGAGAAGACUGGUGGGCAGGGUGGGGAGCUGCAAAUCUCCUGAGAGGUGAACAGACAACAUUCAUGUACACCUUUGGCAGAGGCAAACCUGUACAGGGACCUGAGAUAAAGUAAGAUCCACCUUUAAUAGGUUUGUGUGUGUAUGUGUGUGUGUUUGGUUGAGGUGGGUGGUGAAUUACUUAAGACUCUUUAAUGGCAAGCAACAGAAACCAAAGUGUGACUGCUGGUCCACCCUGGGGCCGAGAUGGGCAAACAUUCCAGAGUGUCGCAAGUGGCUGUAAGGGCCAUGUGAGGGGCUGGGCUGCUGUGUGGCUUGUCUGCAGGGCAGUGGAAAGGCCAGGAGACCCAAAUUCCAGACCUGACUCUACACAGCUUGAGGUCAUGGGCACAUGUCCCUCCUCUCUGAGCCUCUGUUUCCUUAUCUGUUACAUGAAGGGCUGGGUUAACUGAUUCCUCCCAGCUCGAGAAGUGUGUUUCUUUUGCCUGUGGAUGGGAUGAAGAGGGCCUGGUUUGGGGUGAGGGCCGGGGAAGUGAAGUGGGUAUGAGGAAAGCAUCAUAGGAACAACUGGAAGAUGCUGAUGAAGAGCUGGUUGUGGAGCAUAAAGAGGAUUCCAGGGACACAGAAGCUGGAGGAUGGUGGCUUUCCUCGUGGCGACAAUGACAGCAGGAAAGAAGGCCCAUCUGCAGAGAGCAAGAGCUCAGCUUUAGGUGGUAGGGUAUCCAAUAUGAGAGACCUGAAGACCCCCGCAGAGGGUUGCUUGUUGAAAGUCACAUGGCAGAGUUAGAAAUGAGAUCUGAGAGGCAUUUUCCAAGGAGAGAUGUUUGGAGCCAGAGGAGACAUUGAUGUUGAGGGGAAAAAAGAGGAAGGAAGGCAAAGAUGCCUGGGAGAUACAGAGAGAAGAGCCACAGGAGAAGGUGUAGCUGGGAGGAGGGGUUUCAGCUGGGCAGGCACUUGGGUGAUGCCCAAAUGUAUGCGAAACUGUAGCGGCCAGGAGGAGAGUACCGGCCCCUUCUCAGGAAGCAGUGGGUGGUGGUGAGGAGCUUAGAAACGAGAGGCAGCUGAGGCAGAAAAUGAAGCCCAUUUUUGAGUAAAUGAAUUGGAUAAUGAAGGUAAGAAGGAAAAAACAGGGUAGUGGCUUCAAAGACCAGUGGACUCAGUGGAUUCAGAGAAGCCUCUCUCUCCGCCUCCUUCCUUUCCUUUUUCAUGUAAGGACACGGUGAGAAGACGCCAUCUAUGAACCAGGAGGAGGGCUUUCACCCUCUCACCAGACGCUGGAUCUAGGGUGCUUUGAUCUUGGACUCCCAGCUUCCAGGAUUGUGAGAACUGUCGGAAAGAAAGUUCUCUCGUUUGAGCCACCCCGUCUGUGGUAUUUUUGUCAUGGCAGCCCAAAGGGACUGGGCCACCCUCCUGCCACCUCCCUUUUCAGUUGUGACCCUGAGGAGCUCCUGGGAGCACAGAGCCAGCCGGUACCCUCCGGCACGCACCCUUGGUGGCCUUGGUAGUUCAGUGUGGAAAUUUGGUGUGAGAUGGGCUGUCCAGGUGAGAGAUUUUUUUUUUCCCCUAUAGCUCCUGGCCUCAGAUCAUUAAGACCGGGAGGUUGAACAGUGUCUGGGGGCCUCAAAGGAUGUCCCUGCUGUCAGUGGCUUAUUCUCGUUUCCCAGGCGUUGAAGUCAAAGCAUCUCAGUGAAGGUUGAUGGACAGGGACAGUGUCACCUGUGGGUAUUUGGGGAACGGUGACUCAUAGGAGCAGAGGACAGGAAGGGCCUGGACCCUGCCGCCAAGCUCUGCGCCAGGCAAGCACAUGGUCUUCGUGGUUCCUCCUCCGACUGCCACCCUUCUCAGAAGCAAAGUGCCAGGCUUGAUUCCUGCAUCCGCUGCACCUCGGGGUGUGCAUGCCAAGAGAUCAUGGUGCUCCGGUGUUGGGGGUUCAGAGUCUUUGAAGGCACACCCUUAGGAUGACUAGAUAGCACUAGUUACCCCGGGGCCUGUCACCUCCUGACUCUCACAGCUUCCCAUGUGGCCGGGUUCCCCAGAGGGUUCUGGGUCGGCCUGUCAUGUCCUCCCUGUCAUGACUCCUGGAGAGCGUGUCAGAGCAUUUUGUUUCUCUCCCAUCUUGCUUAACCUCGUCUCACUGAUCUUUCUCAAGCAGUGGUUUUAAAAAUAAAGGACCGCCUCCUCUUGCUUGAAAUUCCCUUCUCCUGAAACAUCUCUGCCAUCAAUAGGGCCGGCCUCCGGGACGCCCUAGCGCUGCUACAGGCUGCUGGCAAUAACGUUGCUCUCUGCGCUGGGAAGAGGCAGAUUCUUUACCAUUGAGCCACCUGGGAAGCCGCUGUCUUCACUCAGUCAAACGCUCUCCUGAGAGAGAAAGUAAUUCUGCACAGCCGCCAUCCCCCUUCCUCCCUGCAGCACUGUUGCUCGUACAAUGCAGGGUAAAGACCAGUCAUACUCCCUGCAGAGUCCACAUGUCACAGAGCCCAUCUGGGCAGAGAAGAACAUUCUAACUCCAGGUCAGGUUUUGAUUAUUGAGUGCGAUCUGACCAUUGUUAAUUGCUGAAUUGGGACUGCUUGCAUUUGAAAGUGACUAUGAAGUCUUUAUUACCUACAAGUGACCAGAAGAACCAUGUUGAUUAUUUAAGAUUUCAUCCAAGAAGGACCACUUCCCCUGAGGAGGAAGAGGAGAUUUGGACACACGCAGGGGGAAGAUGAUAUGGAGACCCAGGGAGAAGAUAGCCACUGACAAGCCCAGCAGAGAGCCUGCACAGAUCCUUUGCUCACAGUUCUCAGAAGAAACCAACCCUGUAGAUACCUCGAUCUUAGAUUUCCAGCUUCCAGGCCUGUGGAAAAGUAAAUUUCUGUUGUGUAAGCCACCCUCUGUGAUGUAUCUUUUGAUGGCAACCCUAAGUUAGGGUAAGCACUUUCCACGUGUUCUCUUAUCAUUAGGCAAUGGGAGUAAUAUUUUCAUGGUGGAGUGG
ensembl:lncRNA